UGGGGGAUAUUGCACAAUGGGCGAAAGCCUGAUGCAGCGACGCCGCGUGGGGGAUGAAGGCUUUCGGGUUGUAAACCUCUUUCGCUAUCGAACAAGGCCCGCUUAGGGUGGGUUGAGGGUAGGUGGAGAAGAAGCGCCGGCUAACUACGUGCCAGCAGCCGCGGUAAUACGUAGGGCGCGAGCGUUGUCCGGAAGUCUUGGGCGUAAAGGGCUUGUAGGCGGCUUGUUGCGCCUGCUGUGAAAACGCGGGGCUUAACUUCGCGCGUGCAGUGGGUACGGGCAGGCUUGAGUGUGGUAGGGGUGACUGGAAUUCCAGGUGUAGCGGUGGAAUGCGCAGAUAUCUGGAGGAACACCGAUGGCGAAGGCAGGUCACUGGGCCAUUACUGACGCUGAGGAGCGAAAGCAUGGGUAGCGAACAGG
rnacentral:rRNA from 1 species